rnacentral:rRNA from 1 species
GACGAACGCUGGCGGCGUGCUUAACACAUGCAAGUCGAACGGAAAGGCCCUGCUUUUGUGGGGUGCUCGAGUGGCGAACGGGUGAGUAACACGUGAGUAACCCGCCCUUGACUUUGGGAUAACUUCAGGAAACUGGGGCUAAUACCGGAUAGGAGCUCCUGCUGCAUGGUGGGGGUUGGAAAGUUUCGGCGGUUGGGGAUGGACUCGCGGCUUAUCAGCUUGUUGGUGGGGUAGUGGCUUACCAAGGCUUUGACGGGUAGCCGGCCUGAGAGGGUGACCGGCCACAUUGGGACUGAGAUACGGCCCAGACUCCUACGGGAGGCAGCAGUGGGGAAUAUUGCACAAUGGGCGGAAGCCUGAUGCAGAAACGCCGCGUGCGGGAUGACGGCCUUCGGGUUGUAAACCGCUUUCGCCUGUGACGAAGCGUGAGUGACGGUAAUGGGUAAAGAAGCACCGGCUAACUACGUG